ACUUAAAUAGUUUAAUAAAAAUAUUGAUUUGUGGUAUCAAUGAUACAUGCUGUGUUUUAGGUU
rnacentral:tRNA from 1 species